rnacentral:lncRNA from 10 species
AAAUUCAUGUGGGACAUGGAAACGUGAAAGAAGAAAAGCUUUGUUGUGGAGCUAUGGAAAACACAAAACUAUCAGUCAUUGUCAAAUACUCCAUAAAUGGAGACAGAGAAGGGGUUCAGUUCUCUGUGUAACAAGGACAGAGGAGAAAGGUCCAUACCAAGUAAUAUAGGCAGUUGCAACAUCCAUGAAGAGUUGUUAAUUGGAGCACAAGGCAUCUGCAGUGUCAAAUCUACAGAGACAAGUGCACCUGGAGACAAAUGACCAGACUACCAUAAAACAGAAGCUUAAUUAUGUUCACUUACAUUUUCAAAUUAUUCCCAACAAAUUACCCUGGUUUUCCAGGCAGAAGAAGCAGAGU